rnacentral:lncRNA from 1 species
AGGCUGCAGUGAAUUCUACAAAGAGGCUAUGGGAAAGAAACCUGGAAAGUACCCUUGGCUGUGUACAUUUGAGUAAAGAGAGCACUAUAAAAUCAAAAACCAAUGAAAUGGUUUCCAGAACACAGAACUAUUAAGCUUAAGAAAAGGACAGAAGGAACUGAAGAGAGAGGAACUGUUUUGGAGCAUCACACUUCCACCUCAGAAGAAAUAAGGAAGGAAGGAGGAGGGUGUUCCCACGGCUCUUCAACCAGGCCGGCUCUUCAGCCUACAUCCCCAUCUCAUCAAGUAAAAGGGAUUUUUCAACUGGACCAACCAGAUGGUUUAACAGUGCACUCCCACACCAUUCAACUACGCAAGGGAGAUACACUUAACAUAUGCAGUCGUAUAACACCUACUAACAUUUUCAAACAUUAAACCUUUAAAAAAGAGUUCUAAAGAAAUAGAAGCUUGAAGUAUCAUCUCUCAAGUAUAUAGACACUACUUCAUGGUGUGGUAAUAUAUGCAUAUAGAAGCUAGUAAACACCUCCAGGAGAUGCAAAAGGAAUUAGAACUGCCACAAGGUGCAAGCAAAACCUUGAGGUGAGAAAAUCGAAUUUGGACACCGUUGAGGAGACUAUUGCAGUCAUCCAAGCUCAAGAUGGUGGAGCUUCAUCCUUGAGAAUAACCAAUGGGGAUAGAUUUAAGAGACACUUAGAGUCUGCAGCCAACAGGGCUGAAUGAGCAUUCUGUUUUUCCUCUUCUAAUCCUUCACCCAUCUGAGCUAAAGUCUAGACCUAAGGAGGCUACUAAUUCAGGGAUCGAGUAAUCUGCCAAGCAAGAGUUUAUUCAAGCACAGUUUGAAAUAAAGGUUUCAAAUGCAUAGCCUGUCGAUACUUUGGAAGGAUUCUCAUCAUAACGAGUAUGCAAUUUGCUAUAAAGAAGAAUGCCCAUUACGGACUAAAUGUUUAUGUCCUCCUAAAAUUCAUAUGUUGAAGGCCUAACUCUCAAUGUGAUGAUUAUGUGGAGAUGGUGCCUUUGGGAGGAUAUGGGAGGACACCUGAGACGGCAGGCCAGAAGUCACUCAGUAGGAGAAACAUCCGUUAGAAGUAAUAAUGUGGGAUUGCUGAAGUAAAGACUAUAGGAAGAAAAAAGUGUCUGUGUGUAGGAAACGGAAAGGGAGAGAAAAAUACACUGAGAUGGUAAAGUAAGGAAGUGGAAGAUCAGCAGAAUGUGCAGAUGCCAAGCCAUCCAAGAAAAUCAUCUCUUGUGAUUGUUGCGAAGUCAACUAGCUAAUGUGACUCACUGCUAGGCUGUUGGAUCUGAGACUUAUGUGGGAUAAUUUAGAAACUUGCUAGUGUCUUAAGAUCAAUUACUCACCAAUGAGAGUGGCAUUGAACUGUGAAUGUUCCUCCUAGAUUUUCCAUGAAGACUAAUGGUUUUGUCUUGUCUUGAAUUUGUUUUAAUUACAAUUUGUAUACAUCCUGUUCCACCCUGAAAUUUUUAUUUUCCAAAUGGUUUUUCAUUUAAAGAGACUAAAUAAAGGUUCUGACUGAGUU